rnacentral:rRNA from 1 species
GCGAGGGCCCGCACAAACGGUGGAGCAAGUGGUUUAAUUUGAUGCAACGCGAAGAACCUUACCUACCCUUGACAUCGUGCGAACUUUCCAGAGAUGGAUUGGUGCCUUCGGGAGCGCACAGACAGGUGCUGCAUGGCUGUCGUCAGCUCGUGUUGUGAAAUGUUGGGUUAAGUCCCGUAACGAGCGCAACCCUUGUCCCUAUUUGCCAGCGAUUCGGUCGGGAACUCUAGGGAGACUGCCGGUGACAAACCGGAGGAAGGUGGGGACGACGUCAAGUCAUCAUGGCCCUUACGGGUAGGGCUACACACGUGCUACAAUGGCCGGUACAAUGGGUUGCAAAGCGGCGACGUGGAGCUAAUCUCAUAAAGCCGGUCUCAGUCCGGAUCGGAGUCUGCAACUCGACUCCGUGAAGUCGGAAUCGCUAGUAAUCGUGCAUCAGAAUGGCACGGUGAAUACGUUCCCGGGCCUUGUACACACCGCCCGUCACACCAUGGGAGUGGACUGCACCAGAAGUGGUUAGCCUAACUUCGGAGGGCGAUCACCAC